GGAGUUAGCCGGUGCUUCUUCUGUGAGUGAUGUCCUUCCUGCCGGUUAUUGACCCGCAGGCCUUCUUCCUCACUGAAAGUGCUUUACAACCCGAAGGCCUUCUUCACACACGCGGCAUGGCUGGAUCAGGGUUGCCCCCAUUGUCCAAUAUUCCCCACUGCUGCCUCCCGUAGGAGUCUGGGCCGUGUCUCAGUCCCAGUGUGGCUGAUCAUCCUCUCAGACCAGCUACGGAUCGUCGCCUUGGUGAGCCGUUACCUCACCAACCAGCUAAUCCGACAUAGGCUCAUCCGAUAGCGCGAGGCCCGAAGGUCCCCCGCUUUCCCCCGUAGGGCGUAUGCGGUAUUAGCCUGGGUUUCCCCAGGUUAUCCCCCACUACCGGGCAGAUUCCUAUGCAUUACUCACCCGUCCGCCUCUCGCCACCAGGGAGCAAGCUCCCCGUGCUGCCGCUCGACUUGCAUGUGUUAGGCCUGCCGCCAGCGUUCAAUCUGAGCCAUGAUCAAACUCUGA
rnacentral:rRNA from 1 species